AUAAUGCUAAUACAUUUAUAAAUUUGAGUAGAAUUUAAAUAUGAGAUUGUUGUUGUAAAUGGAUUAUUCAAGCUUUGAGAGUAUUAUCUUUUAAGAUACAUAUCUAAUACUAUAGUAGUUCAAGAUAGGUAUUGAGAGAAGAUUAGUAUAGGAAUUUUAGUAUCAAAUAUGAUUUUUAUUUAUUUAUUUAUUUAUUUUUGGAUGUGUGUGUAUAGGAAGGAGAUUGCUAUAGUUUUUGGAGGACUAGAUUCAAGACUA
rnacentral:lncRNA from 1 species